rnacentral:rRNA from 1 species
CCUACGGGAGGCAGCAGUGGGGAAUCUUGCGCAAUGGGCGAAAGCCUGACGCAGCAACGCCGCGUGCGGGAAGAAGGCUUUCGGGCUGUAAACCGCUUUCAGCAGGAACGAAAAUGACGGUACCUGCAGAAGAAGGAGCGGCCAACUAUGUGCCAGCAGCCGCGGUGAUACAUAGGCUUCAAGCGUUGUCCGGAUUUAUUGGGCGUAAAGAGUUCGUAGGCGGUCGAGUAAGUCGGGUGUGAAAAUUCUGGGCUCAACCCAGAGACGCCACCCGAUACUGCUUGACUUGAGUUCGAUAGGGGAGUGGGGAAUUCCUAGUGUAGCGGUGAAAUGCGCAGAUAUUAGGAGGAACACCGGUGGCGAAGGCGCCACUCUGGAUCGAUACUGACGCUGAGGAACGAAAGCAUGGGUAGCAAACAGGAUUAGAUACCCUGGUAGUCCAUGCCGUAAACGGUAGGGCGACUAGGUGCGGGUUUCGUAUUAACGAAAUACCGCGCCGUCGCUAACGCAUAAGUGCCCGCCUGGGAGUACGGUCGCAAGACUAAACCUUAAAAAAUGAAUUGACGG